CUUGGGUACUUGAGUGGCGAACGGGUGAGUAACACGUGGGUGAUCUGCCCUGCACUUCGGGAUAAGCCUGGGAAACUGGGUCUAAUACCGGAUAGGACCACAUUUUGGAUGGUGUGGUGGAAAGUUUUUCGGUGUGGGAUGAGCUCGCGGCCUAUCAGCUUGUUGGUGGGGUAAUGGCCUACCAAGGCGUCGACGGGUAGCCGGCCUGAGAGGGUGUACGGCCACAUUGGGACUGAGAUACGGCCCAG
rnacentral:rRNA from 1 species